rnacentral:lncRNA from 1 species
GGCCCUAUGGAAGCCAAAAGUCUCUAGAGAAAGCUAAAGAAAAUCCUAGGAUAUGCAAUCAUAGACCCUCUCUAUAUCAAGCUUGAUGGCCAUCAAGCUACACCAUAUGGGUGCCCUCCUUAAGUCAUGCAUGAAUUCCUAGGCCACUAAGACUUUAUCAGUAAUGCUACUGCCACCAAUAAAAGCUCCUUGCUCGAGGGAGGAUCAGCUUCAUCCUGUGGACCAAGAUCUUCGUAAUGAUCUUGUAUAAGGUCAUGCAAAGGCUAAUGGUCUAUUAUGAUCAGGCUCUGAGGGACUCUAUCGCUUAGGGAUCAAUGUGACAAAUAUCCUCUUCUAUGUCUUAGGCAUCCUCCCAUC